rnacentral:rRNA from 1 species
CCUACGGGAGGCAGCAGUGGGGAAUAUUGGGCAAUGGACGCAAGUCUGACCCAGCAACGCCGCGUGAAGGAAGAAGGCUUUCGGGUUGUAAACUUCUUUUAAGGGGGAAGAGCAGAAGACGGUACCCCUUGAAUAAGCCACGGCUAACUACGUGCCAGCAGCCGCGGUAAUACGUAGGUGGCAAGCGUUGUCCGGAUUUACUGGGUGUAAAGGGCGUGCAGCCGGAGAGACAAGUCAGAUGUGAAAUCCACAGGCUCAACCCGUGAACUGCAUUUGAAACUGUUUCCCUUGAGUAUCGGAGAGGUCAUCGGAAUUCCUAGUGGAGCGGUGAAAUGCGUAGAUAUUAGGAAGAACACCAGUGGCGAAGGCGGAUUACUGGACGAUAACUGACGGUGAGGCGCGAAAGCGUGGGGAGCAAACAGGAUUAGAUACCCCUGUAGUC